CAGCCGCCACGGUAAAACGAAGGGUGCAAGCGUUACUCGGAAUUACUGGGCGUAAAGCGUGCGUAGGUGGUGGUUUAAGUCCGUUGUGAAAGCCCUGGGCUCAACCUGGGAAUUGCAGUGGAUACUGGGUCACUAGAGUGUGGUAGAGGAUAGUGGAAUUUCCGGUGUAGCAGUGAAAUGCGUAGAGAUCGGAAGGAACAUCUGUGGCGAAGGCGACUAUCUGGGCCAACACUGACACUGAGGCACGAAGGCGUGGGGAGCAAACAGGAUUAGAUACCCGCGUAGUCCCUGUCUCUUAUAC
rnacentral:rRNA from 1 species